UGAAAAGUGGCUUUGGACAAUCAGUUUCCCCCAGCAUCAGUCUCCUAAGGUUAUGGUGCUUCUGCAGGAAGACGUGCCGGGGGAAGGGAUCAGGCCUGGAGGACUCCAAGACACAGAUCUUAUAAAGAAGUGAAGGAAAGCUACCACCGAGAUUCCGCUCAGCUCCAUCAGGCUGAUCCACUUCAAAUGCCACGGAUAUUUUUGAAAAUAAAUCUCCACAGGCAGAGAACAAGAGGGACCAAGGUGCACCGAUGUCCGAGCCCCCCGCAACGUCAGGGAAAUGAUGUACCUAGAUAAUCCUGGCAAGUGACCUACAACCCACGCUGAAGAGGAAG